AACGAACGCUGGCGGCAUGCCUAACACAUGCAAGUCGAACGAGACCUCCGGGUCUAGUGGCGCACGGGUGCGUAACGCGUGGGAACCUGCCCUUAGGUUCGGAAUAACUCCCCGAAAGGGGUGCUAAUACCGGAUAAUGUCUUCGGACCAAAGAUUUAUCGCCUUUGGAUGGGCCCGCGUUGGAUUAGCUAGUUGGUAGGGUAAAAGCCUACCAAGGCGACGAUCCAUAGCUGGUCUGAGAGGAUGAUCAGCCACACUGGGACUGAGACACGGCCCAGACUCCUACGCGAGGCAGCAGUGGGGAAUAUUGGACAAUGGGCGAAAGCCUGAUCCAGCAAUGCCGCGUGAGUGAUGAAGGUCUUAGGGUUGUAAAGCUCUUUUACCCGGGAUGAUAAUGACAGUACCGGGAGAAUAAGCUCCGGCUAACUCCGUG
rnacentral:rRNA from 1 species